GGCAUCUUGGUCGAAUGGUAAAGACACUUGUCUCUCACCCUGGAGUCCCGGGUUCCAUCCCUGGUCUAGGAGACU